CCUAUAAGACUGGGAUAACUUCGGGAAACCGGAGCUAAUACCGGAUGACACAAAGGAACUCCUGUUCCUUUGUUGAAAGAUGGCUUCGGCUAUCACUUAUAGAUGGGCCCGCGGCGCAUUAGCUAGUUGGUGAGGUAACGGCUCACCAAGGCGACGAUGCGUAGCCGACCUGAGAGGGUGAUCGGCCACACUGGGACUGAGACACGGCCCAGACUCCUACGGGAGGCAGCAGUAGGGAAUCUUCCGCAAUGGACGAAAGUCUGACGGAGCAACGCCGCGUGAACGAUGAAGGCCUUCGGGUCGUAAAGUUCUGUUGUUAGGGAAGAACAAGUGCUAGUUGAAUAAGCUGGCACCUUGACGGUACCUAACCAGAAAGCCACGGCUAACUACGUGCCAGCAGCCGCGGUAAUACGUAGGUGGCAAGCGUUGUCCGGAAUUAUUGGGCGUAAAGCGCGCGCAGGCGGUUUCUUAAGUCUGAUGUGAAAGCCCCCGGCUCAACCGGGGAGGGUCAUUGGAAACUGGGAAACUUGAGUGCAGAAGAGGAAAGUGGAAUUCCAAGUGUAGCGGUGAAAUGCGUAGAGAUUUGGAGGAACACCAGUGGCGAAGGCGACUUUCUGGUCUG
rnacentral:rRNA from 1 species